CCCCUAGAUGUUCUGGGCCGCACGCGCGCUACACUGAACAGUUCAACAAGUCUUAACCUUGGCCGAUAGGUCUGGGUAAUCUUUGAACGCUGUACGUGAUUGGGAUAGACCUUUGCAAUUAUGGGUCUUCAACGAGGAAUUCCUAGUAAACGCAAGUCAUCAGCUUGCAUUGAUUACGUCCCUGCCCUUUGUACACACCGCCCGUCGCACCUACCGAUUGAAUGGUCCGGUGAAAUCUCGGGACGGCGGCUUGGUCGCUUGCGUCCGACUGCUGAAACUUGAUUAAACCAUAUCAUUUAGAGGAAGGUGAAGUCGUANCA
rnacentral:rRNA from 1 species